CUGCCAUUCUAGUAUGUUUUAAACAAGUUUUAUGAGUUUUGUGGGGUAGAAAUGCAUGUUUAGGUUAUUGUUGGUUUUAUGGGUUUAUGUUGAGUUUUUGAGCAAUGUGGGUUGUUUGGUGUGUUUUGGUUGGGGUUUAAGUUAGUUUGAGACCCCUAUAUGCUUGUUGGCUUGAGUUUGCAUGUUGUAUACUAAGUAAAUGCAUGAUGGAAUGGAUUGGGAGGCAUUUGUGCAUGUAAAAGGCUGAGUUCUGCCCUUUGGAAGAACUCAGGUUCGGCAGUCGAAGGGGCUUUCGGCCGCCGAACCUGCCUGUGGAGGCCAACUUUUGGCUGCCGAACCCUGCCCCCGAAAGUGGACUUUCGGUUCUGGAAGGGAGUUUCGGCCGCCGAAGGUGCCGCCGGACAUGCAUGAGUUUCGUCUCUAGAGGGAACCUUCGGCCGCCGAAAAUGCCGCCGAAGGUGCAUGACUUUCGGCUCUGGAGGGACUUUCGGCCGCCGAACCUGCCGCCGAAAGUGCCCUGUUCAGCCUUCUUUUGCAUGAUUUAUAUGAUUGUUUUAAGGUGUUUUAGGGGGUUUUUGGGGAGUAUAUUAGAGUCAUGUUCAUGGAUGUUUGGUCCUUCAUUUGAGUCCACCUGUGUAGGUUCGGACUCGAGGAACCGAGGACCUCAGCAGUGAGAUAGCUGCUUCAGAGUCAUUAGAGCUUCAGCCAGAGGUGAGUGGAAUAACUCUUUAUGUUUUAAAGUAAAUAAUGAAUAUUUCAGCAUGAUUCACGCAUCAUGGAUACCAUGAGAUAUACUAGGUUGUUUGCAUUAGAAUUCACGAAUAUGUUGCAUUGCAUAACUUGAUGAUGAUGUGGAUGGAUGUUGAAUGAUCCUUUAGUCCUCGUAUGUUAUGGUAUGAUGAUGACAAGGUAUGGAAGACCAGUGAGGCCCAUUCUACGCCCCUGGCACUAUGGAAUGUUAUGCUAUGUUAUGUUAUGUUAAGAGAAAGACCAGUGAGGCCCAUUCUACGUCCCUGGCAUGAUUGGACUAUGUAGAGGACUAUUGGUAACAAGUCCAUCCUUGAUGUGAUUUGUUUGUGAUGUGUUGCAUUUCAUGAAGGCAUGAAAUUUAAAUUGAAUGUUUAGUUAUUCUGCUCACUGGGCUUUAUAGCUCACCCCUCUCCCUUAACCCCCAGGUUUGCAGGUACAGGGUAGACCAGGAGGUCAGCAGGAGUAGAGUCAUGUUUUAUGUAAUAGUUAGCUGUGGACAUGAAUAUGAUGUAAUGUAAAAGUAUAGUAUAGAAAUGUAAUGUAAUGAUGCUUAUGGAAGUUUAGAGUUGUGCUUGACCAU
rnacentral:lncRNA from 1 species